rnacentral:tRNA from 25 species
GCCCGGGUGGUGAAAUUGGUAGACACAAGGGAUUUAAAAUCCCUCGCUAGUAAUAGCGUGCCGGUUCAAGUCCGGCUCCGGGUACCA